CCUACGGGUGGCAGCAGUGAGGAAUAUUGGUCAAUGGACGAGAGUCUGAACCAGCCAAGUAGCGUGAAGGAUGACUGCCCUAUGGGUUGUAAACUUCUUUUAUAUGGGAAUAAAGUGAGGAACGUGUUCCUUUUUGUAUGUACCAUAUGAAUAAGCAUCGGCUAACUCCGUGCCAGCAGCCGCGGUAAUACGGAGGAUGCGAGCGUUAUCCGGUUUUAUUGGGUUUAAAGGGUGCGUAGGCGGAUCGUUAAGUCAGUGGUCAAAUUGAGGUGCUCAACCCCUUCCCGCCAUUGAAACUGGCGUUCGUGAGUGGAAGAGAAGUAUGCGGAAUGCGUGGUGUAGCGGUGAAAUGCAUAGAUAUCACGCAGAACCCCGAUUGCGAAGGCAGCAUGCCGGCUUCCGACUGACGCUGAAGCACGAAAGCGUGGGGAUCGAACAGGAUUAGAUACCCCAGUAGUC
rnacentral:rRNA from 1 species